rnacentral:rRNA from 1 species
UACGUAGGGCGCAAGCGUUGUCCGGAAUUAUUGGGCGUAAAGAGCUCGUAGGCGGCUUGUCACGUCGGUUGUGAAAGCCCGGGGCUUAACCCCGGGUCUGCAGUCGAUACGGGCAGGCUAGAGUGUGGUAGGGGAGAUCGGAAUUCCUGGUGUAGCGGUGAAAUGCGCAGAUAUCAGGAGGAACACCGGUGGCGAAGGCGGAUCUCUGGGACAUUACUGACGCUGAGGAGCGAAAGCGUGGGGAGCGAACAGG